UACGAAGGGGGGCUAGCGUUGUUCGGAAUUGACUGGGCGUAAAGGGCGCGUAGGCGGUGUGUCAAGUCAGGCCGGUGAAAGCCCCGGGCUCAACCUGGGAACCGCGCUUGAGACUGGCACGCUCGAGUUCGGGAGAGGAUGGUGGAAUUCCCAGUGUAGAGGUGAAAUUCGUAGAUAUUGGGAAGAACACCGAUGGCGAAGGCAGCCAUCUGGACCGACACUGACGCUGAGGCGGCGAAAAGCGUGGGGAGCAAACAGG
rnacentral:rRNA from 1 species